CCGAUACGAAGGCCUGACUCUCCAACGGGUCACCUGUACAGCAAGAGCAAGAGCAAGAAGAGAGUAAACACAGUCUCGUGUGUAUCCCCGACCCCGACCUUCAGGAGAAGACCAAGAAGAAGGAGAAGAAAUCACCAAAUGACUGGCCCUUUCACUUGGCAGCAUCAACUCACCAUUCAGCCGCUGACCCCCAGUGACAGACUUCCGGGAGACUGGAAGGUUAGCAGAGCACACGUGUGGCAACCAAAGAGCAGCUGUUAAGUAGCAGACGAGACAUAGAAAGGUAGUGGUGUCCACCAUGCUGGGAGGAGGACAGCGCUAAGUGACUGCACCUGACUCUGUGUGUGUGUGUCCUGACGUCCACCGCUGGUGCUGAAGUGAGGGUCUGAGGUGGGCAGCACAGGGCCAGAAGACAGCACCUGACUCUGUG